UUGGAGGGCAAGUCUGGUGCCAGCAGCCGCGGUAAUUCCAGCUCCAAUAGCGUAUAUUAAAGUUGUUGCAGUUAAAAAGCUCGUAGUUGAAUUUCGGGGUUAGUAGGUUGGUCAUGCCUCUGGUAUGUACUGGUCUCACUGAUUCCUCCUUCCUGAUGAACCGUAAUGCCAUUAAUUUGGUGUUGCGGGGAAUUUGGACUGUUACUUUGAAAAAAUUAGAGUGUUUAAAGCAAGCUAACGCUUGAAUACAUUAGCAUGGAAUAAUGAAAUAGGACGUUCGAUCCUAUUUUGUUGGUUUCUAGGAUUGACGUAAUGAUUAAUAGGGAUAGUUGGGGGCAUUAGUAUUCAAUUGUCAGAGGUGAAAUUCUUGGAUUUAUUGAAGACUAACUACUGCGAAAGCAUUUGCCAAGGAUGUUUUCAUUAAUCAAGAACGAAAGUUAGGGGAUCGAAGACGAUCAGAUACCGUCGUAGUCUUAACCAUAAACUAUGCCGACUAGGGAUCGGAUGAUGUUAAUUUUAUAAUGACUCAUUCGGCGCCUUACGGGAAAC
rnacentral:rRNA from 1 species